CCGAGACCCUCGGAAGGGUUUGCACUUUCUGUGGAUGUAUAAUUUCUGUUGAUUAACAGGAGUUGUGGGAAGGAGCCCUUUUGUAAAACUGAUGACAGGGAGGAGCUGCCUGGGGCAGAGGCUGUCAAAUGAUCUCCUUUGUGACUGCAACAGUGCAAAUAUUACCAAGGAACCAAAAUCCCUUCCCUCAUCCAGGGCUCCCUGGGGGCAGCAGUACUCAAACACAGAACUCUCCCUGUUGCCAGAGAUGAAUCUUACAGAGCAUGUGACAGUUUAAAAGUUGUUGCAGAUCUGAAGGAAACUUCAGCAGAACAGCUCACAAGUCUGUUGUCAUGGUGAGAGACUUAUUUCUCUUUUUCUCUUAGAGC
rnacentral:lncRNA from 1 species